rnacentral:rRNA from 1 species
GACGAACGCUGGCGGCGUGCUUAACACAUGCAAGUCGAACGGAGAAUUUAUUUCGGUGAAAUUCUUAGUGGCGAACGGGUGAGUAACGCGUAGACAACCUACCUCUCAGAUGGGGACAACAUCGCGAAAGCGGUGCUAAUACCGAAUGAUGUAACUUUUCUGCAUGGAAGAGUUACCAAAGGCGGCCUCUAUUUAUAAGCUGUCACUGAGAGAUGGGUCUGCGUCUGAUUAGCUAGUUGGCGGGGUAAUGGCCCACCAAGGCGACGAUCAGUAGCCGGUCUGAGAGGAUGAACGGCCACAUUGGGACUGAGACACGGCCCAAACUCCUACGGGAGGCAGCAGUGGGGAAUCUUCCGCAAUGGACGAAAGUCUGACGGAGCAACGCCGCGUGAGUGAAGAAGGUUUUCGGAUCGUAAAGCUCUGUUGUUUGAGACGAACGUGCAAUUUUUGAAUAAGGAAUUGUAAUGACGGUAUUAAACGAGAAAGCCACGGCUAACUACGUGCCAGCAGCCGCCGUAA